GGAGCGGUAGUUCAGUCGGUAGAAUACCUGCCUGUCACGCAGGGUCGCGGGUUUCGAGUCCCGUCCGUUCCGCCA
rnacentral:tRNA from 1 species